rnacentral:rRNA from 1 species
AGAGUUUGAUCUNNNNNNUNNNNCGAACGCNGGCGGCGUGCCUAAUACAUGCAAGUCGAGCGAGACAGAAGGGAGCUUGCUCCCGGAUGUUAGCGGCGGACGGGUGAGUAACACGUGGGUAACCUGCCUGUAAGACUGGGAUAACUCCGGGAAACCGGAGCUAAUACCGGAUAGUUCCUUGAACCGCAUGGUUCAAGGAUGAAAGACGGUUUCGGCUGUCACUUACAGAUGGACCCGCGGCGCAUUAGCUAGUUGGUGGGGUAAUGGCUCACCAAGGCGACGAUGCGUAGCCGACCUGAGAGGGUGAUCGGCCACACUGGGACUGAGACACGGCCCAGACUCCUACGGGAGGCAGCAGUAGGGAAUCUUCCGCAAUGGACGAAAGUCUGACGGAGCAACGCCGCGUGAGUGAUGAAGGUUUUCGGAUCGUAAAGCUCUGUUGUUAGGGAAGAACAAGUGCGAGAGUAACUGCUCGCACCUUGACGGUACCUAACCAGAAAGCCACGGCUAACUACGUNNNNGCAGCNNNNGUAAUAC